UACGAGGGAGGCAAGCGUUAUCCGGAAUUAUUGGGCGUAAAGCGUUUGUAGGCGGGCGAGUGUGUUUAAUGUUAAAUCUUAAAGCUCAACUUUGAAAUUGCGUUAAAAACUGCUUGUCUUGAGUAUGGUAGGGGUAAAGGGAAUUCCCAGUGUAGCGGUGAAAUGCGUAGAUAUUGGGAAGAACACUAAACAGCGAAGGCACUUUACUAGGCUAAUACUGACGCUGAGAAACGAAAGGUAAGGUAGCGAAACGGAUUAGAUACCCGUGUAGUCUUACCCGUAAACUAUGGACACUAAACGGUAAAUUUUUAAUUUACUGUUAAAGCUAACGCGUUAAGUGUCCCGCCUGGGGAGUAUGCUUGCAAAAGUGAAACUCAAAGGAAUUGACGGGGGCCCGCACAAGCGGUGGAGCAUGUGGUUUAAUUCGACGGUACACGAAGAACCUUACCAGGAUUUGACAUGCUAGAUAGUUGCUUGAAAGAGUAACGUGCCGUAAGGAAUCUAGACACAGGUGGUGCAUGGCUGUCGUCAGUUCGUGUUGUGAAAUGUUGGGUUAAGUCCCGCAACGAACGCAACCCUUGUCUUUAGUUAUUUUCUAAAGAGACUGCCUGUAAUAAACAGGAGGAAGGUAAGGAUGAGGUCAAGUCAUCAUGCCCCUUAUGUCCUGGGCUACACACGUGCUACAAUGGGAAAGACAAUGAGCUGCAAAUCUGUAAAUUUAAGCAAAUCUCUUAAACUUUCUCGUAGUUCGGAUUGUGGGCUGCAACUCGCCCACAUGAAGUUGGAAUCGCUAGUAAUCGCCAGUCAGCUAUAUGGCGGUGAAUCCGUUCCCGGGCCU
rnacentral:rRNA from 1 species